AACCGCCGUAUACGGAACCGUACGUACGGUGGUGUGAGAGGUCGGUAGUCGAACUAAUCAACUACCUCCUACUCGAU
rnacentral:ncRNA from 1 species